UGUAAAUUUAAUUCUAGUUUUUGAUAAUAGUUUUAUAUUAAUUUUAAUAUGUGAGUGUUUGCAUGAUUUAUAAUUUAUUUAAAUAAUAAAUCUAUAAAUUUAAUUCGCAGUUUUUGAUUUUGUAUAAUUUAAUAAUUUAAGAUACAGUUAAUUAUAUAAUGACUAGCAAAAAUUGUGCCAGCAGCUGCGGUUAUACAAUUAGUCAGGAUUAUUAUUUUUAGGGUAAUUAUUUAUUUAGUAAAUUGGUUAUAUAAUUUGUAUUUUAGAGUGAAAUUUUAAAUUUAAUUAAUAUAAUUUGGUAAAUUAAAUUAUUAUAAGAUAUUCUUUAAUUAAGACUAGGAUUAGAUACCCUAUUAUUAAGAAUGUAAAUUUUUCCCUCAGUAUUAAUAGUUAUGAUCUUUAAAUUGAAAGAAUUUGACGGUAAUUUUAAUCAUUUUAGAGGAACCUGUUCUGUAAUCGAUAAUCCACGAUAAAUUCUACUUUUAUUUGUUGUUUGUAUAUCUCUGUCUUAUAGAAUGUUUUAUUAGAAUAUUUUCAUUAAUUUUUAAUAAAAAAUUAUGUCAGGUCAAGGUGCAGCUAUAUAGAUGUUUGAAAUGGGUUACAUUAAUUUUUAUUAAUUUUGGAUAAUUUUUUUAUAGAAAAUUUGAAAUUGGAUUUAAUUGUAAUGUGUAAUAUAUAUUAUUCAUGAUAUAUGUUCUUGAUUAAGUACAUAUCGCCCGUCACUCUCGUUAUAAGAUGAGAUAAGUCGUAACAAAGUAGUUCUACUGGAAGGUGGGGCUAGAUUAAU
rnacentral:ncRNA from 1 species